rnacentral:misc_RNA from 1 species
GAAGGGGGUCCUUCGGGACCUCGAGUAGAGCGGCAGACGGGUGAGUAACACGUGGGUAACCUGCCUCUGGGUGGGGGAUAACCACCGGAAACGGUGGCUAAUACCGCAUAAGACCACGUCCUUGCGGGGAUGGGGUCAAAGGUCCUUCGGGGCCGCCGAGAGAGGGGCCCGCGGCCGAUUAGCUGGUUGGCGGGGUAAUGGCUCACCAAGGCGACGAUCAGUAUCCGGCCUGAGAGGGCGGACGGACACACUGGGACUGAGACACGGCCCAGAGCGCCUACGGGAGGCAGCAGUCUG